UUGCAAUCUUUAUUUCAUGAAUAAUUAAGAAGAGAACAUGGCAACAUUGGCAAAUUGAAGGCAUACAUACUAAAUACUUAUACAGAAUACAUUAUGGAGAAAGUAAAUGCCCAGAUCUUUAGUGGUCCUUGCAAACUAAAAGCAUAUUGGGUCCUCCAAAAGGUUUAGCUUAAAAUAUGCUUGCUGACCUUUUAAGUUCCAACGAUGAACAGCUUGUGCCUUUCAAACCAGAAACAGGGUGAAAUACAAUUUGAACAUACUUCCAAAUUUUCCUCAAACCUGUAUUUGUCAGCUAUAACUAGAAGCAAACAAAAUGUUGUUUGGUUUUUUUUCUCCUUACCUUUUAUAUAUACGCACUAAUACACCACCCUAAGUGUUCAAGACACAAGCACUUCUUGAAACGUGUUCAGUUUUAUUAAGAACCUGUAGAUGUACAUAUGUGUAUACACAUGUGUGUAUACAUGUAUGUAGAUAUAUAUAUUUAUGCAAAACCUCUCUAUAGAUGUAAAAUGUCCAUAUAUGUCAAUGUGUGUGUGUAAAACAUUUGAAAGGGCUCUGGAAAAAAGCGCUUGUUUUCUAGAACAAGAAUUACUAAACCCAUACAUGUACUGUUAGGUAAGUCUACAGUUGCGUUUCAAGGGACUAUAAAGCCAAUACAAAUCAGAAAAGCUGGAUGGAUGAGAAGAGUUUUUAAGAAUCACCGUGUUCUACGUCACCUUUAAAAGCCACGGAAAAUGAGCUUUAAAUUAGCUAUUUGAGAGAGAUUAUUGCUGGCUGCAGUGUCAUCUCAAACAAGGUUAGUCCUUAUCCAAUGUAAUGACGUGAAGUUAGAGUGAGAUGUCAAUAAAAUUCUGUUCUUUCAUGAAGUCCAAAUUCAUCACACUGUUCUGCUAAUUCUGCCUCACACGUGAACUGAAAGAACCCUCACUCAAGCGCUGGAGGGUAGCAAUUAAUGCCCUUCUGUCUUUGAUCUGGAGAGUUGUCCAACAUUAAAUGGGAUCACUGAUUUAUUUCACAUACAUAGAACAACUCCUGAUCAUUACUGACCUAAAGUGAACUUACAGUCUGGAGGCUAAUUAGUCUAUGCUUUGUUUAGUAGUGUUAUACUUUCUUGCCAUUAGAUAAUAUGCAGGAAAAACAUUUCUGUUCAAAAUAACCCUUCAGAUAUGUAUAAAAGUGCUACUUAAAAAUAGUAAAAUUGACCUUACAAUACACAGAAAAAGUUUCUAACAAGCUGAAAUGUUGUAAAUUACAAAGAUUAAUUACUUAUGUUACAUGUACUUGUGCCCUCUUUACUGAGCUGAUUCCCAAGUAAUCAUCCUAAUGGAACAUAUGCAAUAAUUGGAAACCAGUAAAAGCCUCCAGAGAAAUGUCAACAAUGAGACAAAAAAAGAGCAGCCUCUUUCUCCCCAGUUGUUGAAACAGAGUCCAGAAACAAAAAUGACUAUUCCAUUAUUGCAAAUGCAGUCUACUGUCAAAACAGGUCAGUUCAUGAACUGUGGAACCAGGACUGCCAAUGGCUCCUCCGCAGCAGGAAAUGUCCACUGGGCUUCCUAACUACCAUAUAAAUAAACUAGUUACAUGCAAUUAAAAUAAUACACAUAUCACUAGAAUGAAAAUGCACGUAAUACAUAGCUAUACUGGGGCAAAGUAGGUUUUAAGCAUUAACUUCUCCAAACAACUUGUUUGUAUUCUGGAAAUCUAUGCAACAUACAAAAGCCUUAGAAAAGUGCAACAAAACUAGCUUCAUGACAUUUUUCUUUCCACUUCCAUAAAUACAAUCCCAUAAAAUUAUUAUUAAACAGAAGCAUACUUCCCAGUGGAGAACAAACGUGCCACAUUUCAGCUUUGUGUAAGGGAUUUUGGCUAAACUGAAACCCCCUGAAAAUAGGGGAUUAAAAUGAAACCAGUUUAACUGCAUCGGGCUGCCAUAAUAUUCUGCCAAAAGCUUACCCUACUGUUUUGCAUCCACAAGUCCUGCUGGAACUGAUUGGAACUUUAUGUGCAACUCUGUGGCAGACAGUGGCAUAAGGGUAAAGAAUAUUCCAAGUAAAAGCUAAGCUAAUGUCAGUUGGAAGAAGUCAUCUUGUAGUCAUAGGUUUUACUGAAGCUUCAGGAUGAGGAGAUAACUCUAUUAUUUCAGAAUGAAUGAAUUGACAGAGACGAGGACAGAGGCCUUGUCAAACUGAGUUCAAGGGUGCUGCAUCCCAACAACUGGCAAGCACAAAUACAUAAGGAAAAAAGGACACUUGUAUCAACACUAACAGAAAUCAGAACUGUACAAACCUUGAUCUUUUAAGUUACUUUACAUUAAUUAUCAAAAGCAUACUUGCUACAUAUUCCAGAUGCUUAACAUCUUGGCUUUGACAAUUACACAGUGUACUACAACAAUGAUACUGAAAUCAGGGAAUACAACAGAAAAAACUUACAUGAAUGAAGGACUGGGAAUGCUCAGCAGGCCAGACAGGAAUUUAAAACCCAUCUAGCCACUCUCCUUGGAAGGCAGAAACACUGUCAGAGCCACCUUUCUAAACAAGGACAAUUAAACAUACAUUAGAGAUGUCUGUGAACCCUUAACUCAUCUAAGGAGUUGAUAACUUGAGGGCAAGAACACGUGAUGGACACCCUGGGAUGAUGUAGGCUGUAUGGGAGAUAAGGAAGUCAUGGGAAAGUUAAGCAGUUCUAACACGUUUCGCCAAUCAACACAAAGGGAACACACUUUACACUUAGGAAGGCACGGUGGCACGUCCAGAACUUGUGGAUGACAACUACACUUUAAUAGCAGUUCUCUCCACAUCAUUUCUCAAAGUGGUUAAUAUUACUGAGCAUUCAGACACUAACACUAGCUUAAAGAAAGGAACUGCAGAAAUAGAGCUUGGCAGAACAUGAAAAUAAACCAGAAAUAAGUAUUUACCAAGUCAAGGGAAGGACCACAACCAAAGUAUAUAGUCAAAUCAGCCUGUACAUGGAGACUAGUAUUUUAAAAUCCUCUCUCUUAGGCCACCUCAGCAAGAGUAUUACUCACAAUAGGCAAAAAAAUAGCAUAAAGGUCUACAAAUGGAUUCCUUCCCAGAAGAAUUCAGCCCCUUAUCAGCUCUUGCUUGAUGCAGCCUGCAGUUAAGCUGUGAUUGUAUUAGCUGCAAGAGGCAAAUAAGAAGUAAAGUCCCCACAUGAAUCACAUGAACACAGUUUUAAAGGCUUAACUUUAGCCUGUGCAUAGCUUCACACCGGCUGCCCAGAGGGGGCAGCUUUGGAAGAUACUGUCAGGUAUCACCUGAAACCAGAGAGCAUUUCCAAACCAGUCACAAGCAGAACAUGGAAAGUAAGAAAAACACCUAGAAGUUCCCAAAUAAUUUUGUUUAAAACAAGGCUAUAAUGAAAUCUGUACACUGGGCCAAAACUGUAUAGCAAUAGAGAGAAUUGAGUACAAGUAAUUUUUUGGUGAUGCAAAAGAUGCAACAGAAUGCAAGUGUCUGGAGUGUUGAAUCAGGGAACUGAAAAAAGAAUAGGUAAAAACUUAACAUUGAUAUCAUUAACAGAAAUGAGAUGCGAAUGAGAACCUUUUGUCACAGAUACAAAAUUCUUAAGGCAGGUCCUCAGCACUUUAAACUACUGUACUGCCAGCAACAGCCAAAGUGAUUUCUCCUUUUGCAUGUAAACCCAGAGUAUGACUGCUGCCAGUGAUAUUAAUGUGAGUUUACACCAAUACAUUAAAGCUGAGUUCAUUUAGCUCUGGCAUGAUGAUGGGCUUUACAGAAAAACACAAACUGUAGAAGCAUUUUACAAAAUUGGAGACAAAAAAUUAUCAGAAAUGCUACUUGUAAAUUCAGGAAUAUAUUUUAUGCAAAAGAGAAGAAAAUUUACUUUUAAAUCAGAAUAUGCUGUAACUGAACACAAUAUUCUGGAUAACCUACCCAGAAACACAAUUUUCAAAGGGAAAAUUUCACUCACCAUUUUUCAGAGGCAUGAGAAUAAGAGGUCUUUGUGAGGGCCAGAGUGUCACACCAGAGGUAAUAAACUAGUGUUUCUAUUUAAAUAGACAACCAAAUCAAACAAAACGAACUGAAAACCAAAUCAAAUGUUAUCCACUCUGAAGCCACGCCAGUUCUGUUACUGUUAGAUGUUCCAUAUUAAAACUUCUCCAACAGAAUUUUCCUGAAUAAACAAAAUUAAGUUUUUCCUCCCACCCCUUCUUCAUUGGUAAAGAAAAUCCCACAAAUGUUCAUUCAAUUUGUUGCUAAUGAUCUUGCAUGAGGAUGAUAACUAGCCAAACCAAAUCCACAUCUGGCUCUGAACUGACCUCUCUGGUGUAUGGAAGUGUUUCAGUAAACAGGAUCAAAAGAUGAUAUACUUGUAUCUGCAGCAAUAUGCUUAACAGCUCCAUUUUGUUGCCCGCUCCACCCCUGCAGCUGGCAAUGACUAACCCUGAUACGCUACAGCACAGGCAUUUGCAAGGCACAUAUUAAAAUGCAAUAACAUAAUUUGAUGAUAAAAUAUUUGUCCUUUUUUUAGUACAUUCAGAAAUAUUUUCUGGAUUAGAAAGGAAAGUAAAUCAGCAUAAACUUGCACUUCAGAUGUACAAAAAACCCCAGGCUGUUUCAGGAUUAACAAUGAGGAGGAACCAAACAGAACAGUACCAUCCAUGUCCAGAAGGACUACAGCUAUUCUUCCUCUUGAAAAACUGAAUGCAGUUUGGACCUUCAGAAAAAGAAUGUUGUAGAGUGCAGCAGAAUGCUUGUUUUGUAUCUCCCAUUGCUUCAUUACUUCCACUUGGACAGCAGCUGUGCAGCACCUUCUAUGUAAAGGCUCAGAUAUAUCAUUAUAGGAAACACUCUUCAUGAAGCCCAAUAUUCCUUUACAGAGGUUUAUCAGACGGAUCACACCAAGAAGAAGUUCACAGAGCUCUGAAGUUGAAAACGAGGUAAUGUUUAUAAUUACUAAUAACUUCUUUUUCCUCUCUCUCUAUGAAGACUAGCAGUUCAUCUUUUUAACAGAAAGUAUCUGGGAAAUGUGAUUUCCCCUUUUACAAAUGGUGAUACUACUAGUGUUAUUCCAGUUAAGGACUAAUAGAGCAUACCAGGUAAAUGAAGUUGACCACUGGACAGAAAAAAAUUAGCUUAAAGCUCAAAUUACCUUAAGAAAAGAGGUCAUGAGUGAAUUCAGACCAAGAAAUGCUCUCCUUUUCAUUAGAAAAAUAUUUUCUUUAAAUCAAACGCAACGAAGAAGACAAUUCAUAGAUAAGGAAGUCUGUCCAGAGGAUGAAUACGAAGUUUUUUGAACACAAAUGGGCAAAACCUAGAAUUUAUUAGUAGGAGAUGGAAUGUGAGACAGCAAUAAUACGCAUUUCCAAUAAGACUAUUCUUAUUGAAACUUACUGGAAGAAAUUAAAUAAACAACAAUUUUUGAAGACAUAUAUGUGAGAGGAAUUUGUAUUUCAGACUUUUAUCAAAAUCUGUUAAUGAAGAUUUUUCUCUUGAAGCCUCUCUUGCAAGAAUUGUCUUUACGUCACAUUUGGUCUUCGAAUGUACUCAUGAAUUAUCUGAGGGUAUCUAGCUACUUUUAGGGUACUAAAGAACUGUAAGUGUGUAUGAGACCCUGCUGCUCUGAAAACUUCUCCCAAGUCCUUCAGCAUGGAUUAAGUAGUUAUGCUGCAACUUUUCAUAAUUCUCACAGGCACAUAUCAGUGUAAGCACAUAUUUUUACACAAUGCUAGCUGCUAGAGACAUGCUGAAUUAUUACUCUUUACAUGGGCUGUUCUUCAGAUGAUAGAUUUUUGGAUUUGGCAAUAAUUUUGAGUGAAAACUGUGCUUUUAUACCAUGAUGAAGUUUCACAGAUGCCAAGCACAGUUGCAUGCACUGCGUUAACAUCCUUAACAGUCAUAAGAGCACCACAGAAAUGGCAGAUUCAUUUUCUUUAUAACAGGAUUACUGUGUUGAAAGAGCAAGUGCUUAUAAAUAGCAGUUGUUACAGAACUCGCUUCUAA
rnacentral:lncRNA from 1 species